ACAGUGGUGGUUCAGUGUCAGGCUCCUUGCCUUCCAUGUGGGAAACCUGGGUUCAAUUCCUAGCCAGUGUG
rnacentral:tRNA from 1 species